GGCGACGACGGGUAGCCGGCCUGAGAGGGUGUCCGGCCACACUGGGACUGAGAUACGGCCCAGACUCCUACGGGAGGCAGCAGUGGGGAAUAUUGCACAAUGGGCGCAAGCCUGAUGCAGCGACGCCGCGUGGGGGAUGACGGCCUUCGGGUUGUAAACCUCUUUCAGCAGGGACGAAGCGCAAGUGACGGUACCUGCAGAAGAAGCACCGGCCAACUACGUGCCAGCAGCCGCGGUAAUACGUAGGGUGCGAGCGUUGUCCGGAAUUACUGGGCGUAAAGAGCUCGUAGGUGGUUUGUCGCGUUGUUCGUGAAAACCGGGGGCUUAACCCUCGGCGUGCGGGCGAUACGGGCAGACUGGAGUACUGCAGGGGAGACUGGAAUUCCUGGUGUAGCGGUGGAAUGCGCAGAUAUCAGGAGGAACACCGGUGGCGAAGGCGGGUCUCUGGGCAGUAACUGACGCUGAGGAGCGAAAGCGUGGGGAGCGAACAGGAUUAGAUACCCUGGUAGUCCACGCCGUAAACGGUGGGUACUAGGUGUGGGUUUCCUUCCUUGGAAUCCGUGCCGUACCUACCGCAUAAAGUAC
rnacentral:rRNA from 1 species